GACCGCGUAGCUCAGUUGGCAGAGCAUUGGGCUAGUAUUCCAAAGGUCGUAGGUUCGAUUCGCAUCGUGGUCA
rnacentral:tRNA from 1 species